rnacentral:tRNA from 1 species
GGGAGAUAGAUCAGUGGUUAAGAACACUGACUGUGCUUCCAGAGGUCCCGGGUUCAAUUCCCAGCAACCA